AGGUCAGAAGAUUAAUGGCCACAGUCUUCACUAUUUUCAAUCCCUACAUGAGUGUCUGAAGCUGUAUAAAAUCACCAAAUAGUAAGCAGAAAGAACAGGAAAACACAUCAUUGUACUGAAGUGGAUAAAAAUAAACAAGUUCCCUGAAGAAUAAGAAGAAUGACAAGAAUAAAAACUUCAAACCCAGAAAAGAACUCACUGCAAACUGUCACAGGGAAACAAAUGAUUACUGUGGGAUUUAGUGAGGCAAGGAAAGUUGUAUUUUAGAGUACAUUCGCAUCUCAUUAUUUAUUUAUUAUUAUUUUUAUUUAUUAUUAUUUGUUUCAUUGAUUAGCAUCUUGUAUUUUGUUUUGAUUUGAUGCGUGUUGUGUUGUGUUUAGCUAUGGAGACUUUGUUGUAUAGCCUAGAGAUACCCAAAGAUUGUGUGCAUGUAUGUGUGUGUGUGUGUAUGUGUGUUUUAGUUAUAUAGUAGCUCUCAGUAUUAAAUGUAUAUAUAUGUGUGCGUGUGUGUAUGAAUGUGUGAGUGUUCAGAAUGUGUGUGUGUGUGUUAAUCUAUACAUAAGUUUGUAUUGAUCAGAGUAUUAUUAGCCACAAAUACGUAAAUCCCACCUAUACUGUACAUGUGUGUGUGUGUGUGUGUGUGUGUGUGGCAUGCAAGCAUAUUAUGUACUGAAGUAUAUCAAUAAAUCCAAUUACUGUAGCAUAAAACUCCAAAAACAAAACCAAAAAGGAAAAAAUUAUAACAAAUAAAAUAAAUGAAAUAA